rnacentral:rRNA from 1 species
UACGGGGGGAGCAAGCGUUGUUCGGAUUUACUGGGCGUAAAGGGCGCGUAGGCGGUCAGCACAAGUCAGUUGUGAAAUCUCCGGGCUUAACUCGGAAAGGUCAACUGAUACUGUGCGAACUAGAGUGCAGAAGGGGCAACUGGAAUUCUCGGUGUAGCGGUGAAAUGCGUAGAUAUCGAGAGGAACACCUGCGGCGAAGGCGGGUUGCUG